UAUUGGAACGAUAGCUAAUACCGGAUAACAGCAUUAACUGCAUGGUUGAUGUUUAAAAGUUGGUUUUGCUAACACUAUGAGAUGGCUUUGCGGUGCAUUAGCUAGUUGGUGGGGUAAAGGCCUACCAAGGCGACGAUGCAUAGCCGACCUGAGAGGGUGAUCGGCCACACUGGGACUGAGACACGGCCCAGACUCCUACGGGAGGCAGCAGUAGGGAAUCUUCCGCAAUAGGCGAAAGCCUGGCCGAACCACCGCCGCGUGAGUGAAGAAGGAUUUCGGUUCGUAAAGCUCUGUUGUUAGGGAAGAAUGAUUGUGUAGUAACUAUACACAGUAGAGACGGUACCUAACCAGAAAGCUACGGCUAACUACGUGCCAGCAGCCGCGGUAAUACGUAGGUGGCGAGCGUUGUCCGGAAUUAUUGGGCGUAAAGCGCGCGCAGGUGGUUUAAUAGGUCUGAUGUGAAAGCCCACGGCUCAACCGUGGAGGGUCAUUGGAAACUGUUAAACUUGAGUGCAGGAGAGAAAAGUGGAAUUCCUAGUGUAGCGGUGAAAUGCGUAGAGAUUAGGAGGAACACCAGUGGCGAAAGCGGCUUUUUGGCCUGUAACUGACACUGAGGCGCGAAAGCGUGGGGAGCAAACAGG
rnacentral:rRNA from 1 species